rnacentral:rRNA from 1 species
GGCAGCAGCCGCGGUAACACCGGCGGCCCGAGUGGUGAUCGUGAUUAUUGGGUCUAAAGGGUCCGUAGCCGGUUUGGUCAGUCCUCCGGAAAAUCUGAUAGCUCAACUAUCAGGCUUCGGGGGAUACUGCCAGACUUGGAACCGGGAGAGGUAAGAGGUACUACAGGGGUAGGAGUGAAAUCUUGUAAUCCCUGUGGGACCACCUGUGGCGAAGGCGUCUUACCAGAACGGGUCGACGGUGAGGGACGAAAGCGUGGGGCACGAACCGGAUUAGAUACCCGGGUAGUCCCAGCCGUAAACGAUGCUCGCUAGGUGUCAGGCAUGGCGCGACCGUGUCUGGUGCCGCAGGGAAGCCGUGAAGCGAGCCACCUGGGAAGUACGGCCGCAAGGCUGAAACUUAAAGGAAUUGGCGGGGGAGCACAACAACGGGGUGGAGCCUGCGGUUUAAUUGGACUCAACGCCGGACAACUCACCGGGGGCGACAGCAAUAUGUAGGCCAAGCUGAAGACUUUGCCUGAAUCGCUGAGGAGUGGUGCAUGG